CAAUAGCGUAUAUUAAAGUUGUUGCGGUUAAAAAGCUCGUAGUUGGAGUUCUGCCAGGUGCCGCCUGUCCGCCCCAGUGGUGAGUACGUGGCGCGCAUUUGGCCCUUUCAAGGGGAGCGUAUCUGCACUUUAUUGUGUGGUGCGGGAUCCUUGACUUUUACUUUGAGGAAAUGGGAGUGUUCCAAGCAGGCUCUCGUCGUGCACAGCUCAGCAUGGAAUAAUAGCAUUGGACCUCAAUUCUAAGCUGUUGGUUGCCAGAAGCGAGGUAAUGAUGAAGAGGGAUAGUUGGGGGCAUUCGUAUUUAACUGUCAGAGGUGAAAUUCUUGGAUUUGUUAAAUACGGACUACUGCGAAAGCAUCUGCCAUGGAUGUUUUCAUUGA
rnacentral:rRNA from 1 species